GCUGUGAUGGCUGAGUGGUUAAGGCAUUAGACUAGAAAUCCAAUAAGGUUUUCCUGUGCAUGUUCAAAUCUUGCUCAAAGCA
rnacentral:tRNA from 1 species